UACAUGCAAGUCGAACGAACUCUGGUAUUGAUUGGUGCUUGCAUCAUGAUUUACAUUUGAGUGAGUGGCGAACUGGUGAGUAACACGUGGGAAACCUGCCCAGAAGCGGGGGAUAACACCUGGAAACAGAUGCUAAUACCGCAUAACAACUUGGACCGCAUGGUCCGAGUUUGAAAGAUGGCUUCGGCUAUCACUUUUGGAUGGUCCCGCGGCGUAUUAGCUAGAUGGUGRGGUAACGGCUCACCAUGGCAAUGAUACGUAGCCGACCUGAGAGGGUAAUCGGCCACAUUGGGACUGAGACACGGCCCAAACUCCUACGGGAGGCAGCAGUAGGGAAUCUUCCACAAUGGACGAAAGUCUGAUGGAGCAACGCCGCGUGAGUGAAGAAGGGUUUCGGCUCGUAAAACUCUGUUGUUAAAGAAGAACAUAUCUGAGAGUAACUGUUCAGGUAUUGACGGUAUUUAACCAGAAAGCCACGGCUAACUACGUGCCAGCAGCCGCGGUAAUACGUAGGUGGCAAGCGUUGUCCGGAUUUAUUGGGCGUAAAGCGAGCGCAGGCGGUUUUUUAAGUCUGAUGUGAAAGCCUUCGGCUCAACCGAAGAAGUGCAUCGGAAACUGGGAAACUUGAGUGCAGAAGAGGACAGUGGAACUCCAUGUGUAGCGGUGAAAUGCGUAGAUAUAUGGAAGAACACCAGUGGCGAAGGCGGCUGUCUGGUCUGUAACUGACGCUGAGGCUCGAAAGUAUGGGUAGCAAACAGGAUUAGAUACCCUGGUAGUCCAUACCGUAAACGAUGAAUGCUAAGUGUUGGAGGGUUUCCGCCCUUCAGUGCUGCAGCUAACGCAUUAAGCAUUCCGCCUGGGGAGUACGGCCGCAAGGCUGAAACUCAAAGGAAUUGACGGGGGCCCGCACAAGCGGUGGAGCAUGUGGUUUAAUUCGAAGCUACGCGAAGAACCUUACCAGGUCUUGACAUACUAUGCAAAUCUAAGAGAUUAGACGUUCCCUUCGGGGACAUGGAUACAGGUGGUGCAUGGUUGUCGUCAGCUCGUGUCGUGAGAUGUUGGGUUAAGUCCCGCAACGAGCGCAACCCUUAUUAUCAGUUGCCAGCAUUAAGUUGGGCACUCUGGUGAGACUGCCGGUGACAAACCGGAGGAAGGUGGGGAUGACGUCAAAUCAUCAUGCCCCUUAUGACCUGGGCUACACACGUGCUACAAUGGAUGGUACAACGAGUUGCGAACUCGCGAGAGUAAGCUAAUCUCUUAAAGCCAUUCUCAGUUCGGAUUGUAGGCUGCAACUCGCCUACAUGAAGUCGGAAUCGCUAGUAAUCGCGGAUCAGCAUGCCGCGGUGAAUACGUUCCCGGGCCUUGUACACACCGCCCGUCACACCAUGAGAGUUUGUAACACCCAAAGUCGGUGGGGUAACCUUUUAGGAACCAGCCGCCUA
rnacentral:rRNA from 2 species